rnacentral:rRNA from 1 species
AACGAACGCUGGCGGCAGGCUUAACACAUGCAAGUCGAACGCACUCUUCGGAGUGAGUGGCAGACGGGUGAGUAACGCGUGGGAACCUACCCUUUACUACGGAAUAGCCUCGGGAAACUGGGAAUAAUACCGUAUACGCCCUUCGGGGGAAAGAUUUAUCGGUAAAGGAUGGGCCCGCGUUGGAUUAGCUAGUUGGUGGGGUAAUGGCCUACCAAGGCGACGAUCCAUAGCUGGUCUGAGAGGAUGAUCAGCCACACUGGGACUGAGACACGGCCCAGACUCCUACGGGAGGCAGCAGUGGGGAAUAUUGGACAAUGGGCGAAAGCCUGAUCCAGCCAUGCCGCGUGAGUGAUGAAGGCCCUAGGGUUGUAAAGCUCUUUCACCGGUGAAGAUAAUGACGGUAACCGGAGAAGAAGCCCCGGCUAACUUCGUGCCAGCAGCCGCGGUA